AACCGAACUACACAACAAUGACACAAACAACUUGGAAACCCAUUUGCACGAAACACAUCGUGGGAGUGACAAUUACAAAAUGACAUGGAAGGGUCUACGGUCCAACCAUCUUAAUGCCCUUCCACAUGAUGACAGCAGUACAUAAAUUAGUUUAUACCGCUUCAGUACCUUAAUUCUUGUUUAUAUACACCAGGGUGGGCUUUCAGGGCAAAAUAAUUCCAACACAAACUAGCAAUUGAUGCCACAUUGACCAUUUGACGCAGAUUUAGUAGAAUCUGAUGUGAAGGGGUCGAUACGAACCCACAGCAAGGAGAAAAUGGAAGCAAGGAGUAUGGACCACACAAUGACAAUGGUUGGUGUGCGAUUUUGCCGACCUACUAAACCCUUCAGGAAAGGGUAUAAAUGAGCAAUAACCCAUAUUGCGAAGAACAGCUUGCCAAAGAGAGGACCCCAUGAUUGGUAGCCGCUAUUUAUGGCGUAUGAAACACCAGCUACAAUGCCCACCAAGUUCACUAUAAGGACUGUUGUUGGUGGAAUGAGAAGAGAUGUCCACUUGAACACAUAGAGCUCAGCAAAGUCCCCAUCAUCAUCAGAAGCUUUUGAAGUGACAGUAAAGUUGGU
rnacentral:misc_RNA from 1 species